GACGAACGCUGGCGGCGUGCUUAACACAUGCAAGUCGAACGGUAAGGCCCCUUCGGGGGUACACGAGUGGCGAACGGGUGAGUAACACGUGAGCAACCUGCCCUUGACUCUGGAAUAACAGUUGGAAACAGCUGCUAAUACUGGAUAUUCAUCGUCUCCUUCCUGGGGGGUGGUGGAAAGCUCCGGCGGUCAGGGAUGGGCUCGCGGCCUAUCAGCUUGUUGGUGAGGUAAUGGCUCACCAAGGCUUCGACGGGUAGCCGGCCUGAGAGGGCGACCGGCCACACUGGGACUGAGAUACGGCCCAGACUCCUACGGGAGGCAGCAGUGGGGAAUAUUGCACAAUGGGCGCAAGCCUGAUGCAGCAACGCCGCGUGCGGGAUGACGGCCUUCGGGUUGUAAACCGCUUUCAGUAGGGACGAAGGGUGACUGACGGUACCUACAGAAGAGGGACCGGCUAACUACGUG
rnacentral:rRNA from 1 species